rnacentral:tRNA from 1 species
UAAGUUGUGGCUCAGAGGUAGAGCGCACACCUAGCACGCACGUACGAGGCCCUGAGUUCGAGCCUCAGCACCAUAU